AAAUUUUUGGAGGGAAAUCACUAAAUUAACAGAGCAAACACCCGUGGCAGAACUGCACUGUUCCCGAAGGCCCAUAGAAACUGAAGGACAUCACAUCACAUCACACACUGCUGACGCGUUUGUGUUUUCAGCACCUUGGACAGCGGCCAAACAGAAGCGCACGCCGCUGAGUAAGUGCGAGAGGUUCUCCUGCUGCUGCACUGCCAUUGGUCAGAUUUUCCGAGGUCGUGUGACUCAUAACGGAGCCAGAAGGCAGAAACACAGUGAUGAGCUCAACCGUGACUGAACUGGGCUGAUCAGACAGACUGAGCUGCACCUGCAUCCCUGCGGUGGACACGUGUGACGUCACUGAGCUGAUGAAUGUGGAUUAAACACUGGCUGAUAUUAAACCACACAAGGGAAGAUGAGGCAGACACCCUUGGUUGUACCUGUAGUGGCCCAUUGGCUUCAACAAGCAAGACAUGGAGAGUUUCUGACAGAAAAAGGAAACUGAGUUUUGGAAACAAUUGAGGCGCAGGGGAAAGAGAUGGCUGUUUGAUCUUCAGAGGCCAUUUCCACAUCUUACAGCUCUUUCGGAACUUCAAAUGACUGUGCCUCAGGGCGAGCAACUGCAACUGCAGUAAAGACAAAGCCACAUGCCAGAUUGAAGUCAUGGACGCGCCAACAAGGACACGUUUCUGUUGCAUCUCCUGUUUCUCAGGAAGCACUUGGACAUAAAUGACAUUCUCCCAAAACACUGUAAGAAUUCCCGCAAUUCUUUAUAAAACUAUAAUCUAGAAUAAGCUCUCUAUAUCAGUGUGCAAGGACUGUGUGGACUUGCCUGAUCAUUAUAGGGCGAUUUCCAAAUAUUGAAGUUUUGCUAGUAAUUACUUGCUGUAGUCAAAAAUUCAUUCAUU
ensembl:processed_transcript